rnacentral:rRNA from 1 species
GACGAACGCUGGCGGCGUGCUUAACACAUGCAAGUCGAACGGAAAGGCCCUGCUUUUGUGGGGUGCUCGAGUGGCGAACGGGUGAGUAACACGUGAGUAACCUGCCCUUGACUUUGGGAUAACUUCAGGAAACUGGGGCUAAUACCGGAUAGGAGCUCCUGCUGCAUGGUGGGGGUUGGAAAGUUUCGGCGGUUGGGGAUGGACUCGCGGCUUAUCAGCUUGUUUGUGGGGUAGUGGCUUACCAAGGCUUUGACGGGUAGACGACCUGAGAGGGUGACCGGCAAAAUUGGGACUGAGAUACGGCCCAGACUCCUACGGGAGGCAGCAGUGGGGAAUAUUGCACAAUGGGCGGAAGCAUGAUGAAGAAACGCCGCGUGCGGGAUGACGGCCUUCGGGGUGUAAACAGAUUUAGACUGUGAAGAAGAGUGAGUGACGGUAAUGGGUAAAGAAGCACCGGCUAACUACGUG